rnacentral:rRNA from 1 species
ACGCACGCUGGCGGCGUGCCUCAUACAUGCAAGUAGAACGCUGAAGGAGGAGCUUGCUCUUCUUGGAUGAGUUGCGAACGGGUGAGUAACGCGUAGGUAACCUGCCUGGUAGCGGGGGAUAACUAUUGGAAACGAUAGCUAAUACCGCAUAAUAGUAGAUGUUGCAUGACAUUUGCUUAAAAGGUGCAAUUGCAUCACUACCAGAUGGACCUGCGUUGUAUUAGCUAGUUGGUGAGGUAACGGCUCACCAAGGCAACGAUACAUAGCCGACCUGCGAGGGUGAUAGGCCACACUGGGACUGAGACACGGCCCAGACUGCUACGGGAGGCAGCAGUAGGGAAUCUUCGGCAAUGGACGGAAGUCUGACCGAGCAACGCCGCGUGAGUGAAGAAGGUUUUCGGAUCGUAAAGCUCUGUUGUAAGAGAAGAACGAGUGUGAGAGUGGAAAGUUCACAAUGUGACGGUAGCUUAACAGAAAGGGACGGCUAACUACGUG